UCUGGGAUAGCCCAGUCAGAAAAGCAUGAGACUCUUAAUCUUGGAGUUGUGGGUUCGAGUCCAACAUGGGCAGAA